rnacentral:hammerhead_ribozyme from 1 species
AUUCAGAAGAGGAGUCCAAAAUAGGACGAAAUGUGCAUCCUGGAU